GGAUUGUGGCUCAGUGGUAGAGUGCUUGCCUACAAUGUGUGCGGCCCUGGGUUUGAUCCUCAGCACCA
rnacentral:tRNA from 1 species